rnacentral:rRNA from 1 species
GAUGCAGCACGCCGCGUGGAGGAUGACACAUUUCGGUGCGUAAACUCCUUUUAUAUGAGAAGAUAAUGACGGUAUUAUAUGAAUAAGCACCGGCUAACUCCGUGCCAGCAGCCGCGGUAAUUG